CGCGUAGGCGGCCGAUUAAGUCGGGGUGAAAGCCUGUGGCUCAACCACAGAAUUGCCUUCGAUACUGGUUGGCUUGAGACCGGAAGAGGACAGGCGGAAACUGCGAGUGUAGAGGUGAAAUUCGUAGAUAUUCGCAAGAACACCAGUGGCGAAGGCGGCUGUCUGGUCCGGUUCUGACGCUGAGGCGCGAAAGCGUGGGGAGCAAACA
rnacentral:rRNA from 1 species